UACGUAGGGGGCAAGCGUUGUCCGGAAUUAUUGGGCGUAAAGAGCGUGUAGGCGGUCCGAUAAGUCAGCUGUGAAAGUCAAGGGCUCAACCCUUGAAAGCCGGUUGAUACUGUCGGGCUUGAGUCCGGAAGGGGCGAGUGGAAUUCCUGGUGUAGCGGUGAAAUGCGCAGAUAUCAGGAGGAACACCAAUGGCGAAGGCAGCUCGCUGGAACGGUACUGACGCUGAGGCGCGAAAGCGUGGGGAGCAAACAGG
rnacentral:rRNA from 1 species